UACGUAGGGUGCGAGCGUUAAUCGGAAUUAUUGGGCGUAAAGCGUGCGCAGGCGGUUCGUUGUGUCGGCGGUGAAAGCCCCGGGCUUAACCUGGGAAUGGCCGUUGAAACUGGCGAACUGGAGUGUGGCAGAGGGGGGUGGAAUUCCGCGUGUAGCAGUGAAAUGCGUAGAGAUGCGGAGGAACACCGAUGGCGAAGGCAGCCCCCUGGGCUAACACUGACGCUCAGGCACGAAAGCGUGGGGAGCAAACAGG
rnacentral:rRNA from 1 species